CGAUGUGGAGCUCAAACCCACACACCACAGGAUCAUGACCUGAGCCGGAGUCAGAUUCUCAACUGACUGAGCCACCCACGCACCCUGGGUAUAUAUAAUUUUAAAAAUUUUAUUUUGUAAGAUAUUUUAGUGAACACUUUAAACAUAGAUAAUCCCAAAUAAAAUACCAGAGAAUGAUUCAUUCUUUCAUAUGUUUAUUGACUGCUAAUAUUUUACGUUAAAAUUCUGUAGCACUUUUAUGAAUGCACUUUUUCAUUGUUCAUUGUUAUCAUUAUCAUUCCACUGUUCUUAGUCAUUUACAGGUCCAAAAUUUAGCUAUUAAGCAGUACUGUGAUGUAUAUCUUUAUAGCCAAUAUCCUGUGCAUAACCGUAUCAUGUAAGUCUGUUGUUAAAGUCGCUCACAUACCUUAUGUAUUCUCUGAAUUCUUUAUUUUUAUUUUGUUUAUCUAAAGUGUAAUCUCUUAAAAAAGAACUUCAUGGAGAAUUCAUAUUUUUUACAAAGGGAGAAGUUGGAUUUUUGACCCUACUUCCGAACUCUUACUGGAAUUUCUAGGUCUGGGAACUUGUUGAUGAAGAGAAAUACCUCUCAUCCACUAAAAUCAGGCUUCACGCCCAGCAUGGAGCCCAGCGAGGGGCUUGAACCAACAACCCUGAGAUCAAGACCUGAGUUGAGAUUAAAGAGUCGGACACCCAACUGACUGAGCCACCCAGGCGCCCCAGUGAAUUUGUCUUUGUUUACAAUAUGUUAAAAGAAUGAGUCUUACAAUGAAAAAGGUGGAGAUUCAUUUUUUGUAUGUGACCAAAGUGCGAAUGACUAAUUGUAAAGGGCACGUGUUUCUUUUUAUAGUAAUAUAAUCAUGACAAUAUUAAUAAGCACAAGUUAGUUUUCUAUAUUCCAGACAUUCACUUAUUUAAAUGUCAGACGUGCAAAUUCUACAUAGUUUUAUCUGAAAAUGCCUUGAUUUUAUUUCCACUCUUUAAAGAUAUUUUUGGUGGAUAUAAGAUUUUGGGGUGAUUUUUGUUGUUAUUUUUAUUUAAGCAUUUAAAAAAUGUUCCAUAUUUUCUGGCUUUUGUUAUUUCUGAUGAAAAUUCCACUGUCAUUCCAAUCAUUGUUUGUGUGCAGUGUGUUUUUUUUCUCCCAACUAUUUUAUUUUUUUAUUUUUUUGCUUUUUAGCAUUUUAAUUGUGAUUAACCUCGCUGUCACUUUCUUUACAUUAAUCUUGAUGUUCAUGAAAUUUAUUGCAUCUGUAGAUUUGUCUUCAUUUGGGAAAAGUUUGGCCAUUUUUUCUUGAAAAUUUUUAUGCCUCAUUCUUUUUCUUUCUCUCCUUCUGAGACUCUAAUUAAAAAUGUAGGCCUUUUGAUAUUUUCCCAUGGGUCUUUGAGACUGUUGAUAUUUUCACCUUAAAAAAAUUCUUCUGAUUAAUUUCUUGGAUCUGUCUUCCCAUUCAUAAACGUUUCUCUUUCUUUUCUCUGUUCUAUUGUUAAGCCCAUGUAGUGGUUUAAAAAAUUUUCAGAUAGUAUAUUUUGUAGUUCUUGAAUUUCCAUUUUCUUUUCAGUCUUUACUGAAAUUUUUUAUCUUCCUUUAUGAUGAACAUCUAUAUUUUGUUAAGUUCUUGAGCAUAGUGAUAAUAACCGCUUGAAAAUCCUUGCCUGUAAAUUAUACCAUUUGGGUCAACAAAGGGUGUGUCCAUGAUUAUGUGAUUAUUUUUUUCUCUUGAGAAUGGGUUGUGUUUUCCUGUUUUCUUCCUGGGAAUAAUUUUGGAUUGCAUUCUGGAUAUUGUGAAUGGCAAGUUGUAGAAGCUUUGGAUUUGGUUAUGUUCCUUUGAAGAGUAUGGAUUUUGCUUCUUCUUUUUUUUAAAGCAGGAACGAACUGAACUCAAAGUGCAAAACUCUUUCCCCCAUGAUGGGUGGCAGCUCAAAUUUCAGUUCAGUUCUGUUAGCUGCUCUGCUUGGAUUCUGUACUGUGCCUGUGUGUGCUGGGCAUUAGCUAGAGAUUUAGGCAGAGUUUUAUGCAGAUUUUAGGGCUCUGGUUCUCCCGCUGUCUUUUUUAUGGUGUUCUGCCUUAUUUUCCAGUGGUGCUUUGAAUGCUGUUCUUCAAGCCAGCAGAACCUUUUGGAGUUUAGCUGCCCUGCAUGGCACAAGAUUAAAAGAUAAAAAUUGGGGAAAAUUGUGCAGCGUCUUUCCUUUCUUCCAAGUGUCAGCUCCCCUCCGAUGUCUGCUGCUUUUGUUUACUCUCCAGUGCCCACAAGUGGUUGCUUUUUUUUUUUUUUUUUUUU